rnacentral:siRNA from 1 species
AAGUAACGUCCUGCCAAACCCGUU